GACGAACGCUGGCGGCGUGCUUAACACAUGCAAGUCGAACGGAGUGGCGAACGGGUGAGUAACACGGGGGUGAUCUGCCUUGCACUUCGGGAUAAGCUGGGGAAACUGGGUCUUAUACCGGAUAGUGCAAGAUGAGCUCGCGGCCUAUCAGCUUGUUGGUGGGGUAAUGGCCUACCAAGGCGUCGACUGGUAGCCGGCCUGAGAGGGUGUACGGCCACAUGGGGACUGAGAGACGGCCCAGACGCGUACGGGAGGCAGCGGUGGGGAAUAUGGCACAAUGGGCGGAAGCCUGAUGAAGAGACGCCGGGUGGGGGAUGAAGGCCUUCGGGUUGUAAACUCCUUUCGACAGGGACGCGGUACCUGUAUAAGAAGCACCGGCUAACUACGUGCCAGCAGCCGCGGUAAUAC
rnacentral:rRNA from 1 species